rnacentral:tRNA from 1 species
AUCUAUAUAGUAUAAAUUUUACAUUUAAUUUCCAAUUAAAAAAAAUAAUAUAAAUAUUAUUAUAGGUA